rnacentral:rRNA from 1 species
CUUCCGUUAAUUGAUUAUGACGUACUUGUACUGAUUGAGAUUUUAACACGAAGUGAGUGGCGAACGGGUGAGUAACACGUGGGUAACCUGCCCAGAAGUAGGGGAUAACACCUGGAAACAGAUGCUAAUACCGUAUAACAGAGAAAACCGCAUGGUUUUCUUUUAAAAGAUGGCUCUGCUAUCACUUCUGGAUGGACCCGCGGCGUAUUAGCUAGUUGGUGAGGUAAAGGCUCACCAAGGCAGUGAUACGUAGCCGACCUGAGAGGGUAAUCGGCCACAUUGGGACUGAGACACGGCCCAGACUCCUACGGGAGGCAGCAGUAGGGAAUCUUCCACAAUGGACGCAAGUCUGAUGGAGCAACGCCGCGUGAGUGAAGAAGGGUUUCGGCUCGUAAAGCUCUGUUGUUAAAGAAGAACGUGGGUAAGAGUAACUGUUUACCCAGUGACGGUAUUUAACCAGAAAGCCACGGCUAACUACGUGCCAGCAGCCGCGGUAAUACGUAGGUGGCAAGCGUUAUCCGGAUUUAUUGGGCGUAAAGCGAGCGCAGGCGGUCUUUUAAGUCUAAUGUGAAAGCCUUCGGCUCAACCGAAGAAGUGCAUUGGAAACUGGGAGACUUGAGUGCAGAAGAGGACAGUGGAACUCCAUGUGUAGCGGUGAAAUGCGUAGAUAUAUGGAAGAACACCAGUGGCGAAGGCGGCUGUCUGGUCUGCAACUGACGCUGAGGCUCGAAAGCAUGGGUAGCGAACAGGAUUAGAUACCCUGGUAGUCCAUGCCGUAAACGAUGAUUACUAAGUGUUGGAGGGUUUCCGCCCUUCAGUGCUGCAGCUAACGCAUUAAGUAAUCCGCCUGGGGAGUACGACCGCAAGGUUGAAACUCAAAAGAAUUGACGGGGGCCCGCACAAGCGGUGGAGCAUGUGGUUUAAUUCGAAGCUACGCGAAGAACCUUACCAGGUCUUGACAUCUUCUGACAGUCUAAGAGAUUAGAGGUUCCCUUCGGGGACAGAAUGACAGGUGGUGCAUGGUUGUCGUCAGCUCGUGUCGUGAGAUGUUGGGUUAAGUCCCGCAACGAGCGCAACCCUUAUUACUAGUUGCCAGCAUUAAGUUGGGCACUCUAGUGAGACUGCCGGUGACAAACCGGAGGAAGGUGGGGACGACGUCAAAUCAUCAUGCCCCUUAUGACCUGGGCUACACACGUGCUACAAUGGAUGGUACAACGAGUCGCGAAACCGCGAGGUUAAGCUAAUCUCUUAAAACCAUUCUCAGUUCGGACUGUAGGCUGCAACUCGCCUACACGAAGUCGGAAUCGCUAGUAAUCGCGGAUCAGCAUGCCGCGGUGAAUACGUUCCCGGGCCUUGUACACACCGCC